CAGCAGACAUUCUAUUCUGACUCGUGGGUAGACCGUGGGCAGAUCAUCAGUUAGAAUGAACAUUCGAGCGACAUUUCUUGCGGCCAUGAUUAUGUUUACGACCCACGAGACCGUGAAGGGCACCGACGAUGAAGACGUAAUCGAGUGGGGAGGAACAAGCAACGACGAAUGCGAGAGUUCACAGCAGUGCAAUUCACAGGACACAAAGUGUUGCGUGAGAAACGGCGAACACAACACAUGUGAGCCGUUAAAUGAAAUUGGUAAACCAUGCUCCAACGCUAAAGCUCCUGACUAUGCCGACGUGUACCUUGGUCAUUGCCCCUGCAAGUUACCGUUUUUGUGCAAGGACAUGGGAGAGAAUAUCAGCAUAUGCGUAGCCCCUCCAGGCAAGAGAAAAUAAAGUUAUGUUUCCACAGAACUGAAAUAAAGUUCUUGUCAUGUCAUGUCAUGUUUCCACACGUUAUGUUAUUAACUAAGUUCAUUUCAUUUCUUUC
rnacentral:misc_RNA from 1 species